rnacentral:rRNA from 1 species
GAUGAACGCUGGCGGCGUGCCCAAUACAUGCGAGUCGAGCGAACGGACGAGAAGCUUGCUUCUCUGAUGUUAGCGGCGGACGGGUGAGUAACACGUGGAUAACCUACCUAUAAGACUGGGAUAACUUCGGGAAACCGGAGCUAAUACCGGAUGAUAUUUUGAACCGCAUGGUUCAAAAGUGAAAGACGGUCUUGCUGUCACUUAUAGAUGGAUCCGCGCUGCAUUAGCUAGUUGGUAAGGUAACGGCUUACCAAGGCAACGAUGCAUAGCCGACCUGAGAGGGUGAUCGGCCACACUGGAACUGAGACACGGUCCAGACUCCUACGGGAGGCAGCAGUAGGGAAUCUUCCGCAAUGGGCGAAAGCCUGACGGAGCAACGCCGCGUGAGUGAUGAAGGUCUUCGGAUCGUAAAACUCUGUUAUUAGGGAAGAACAUAUGUGUAAGUAACUGUGCACAUCUUGACGGUACCUAAUCAGAAAGCCACGGCUAACUACGUG